GGGAGGGACCGCCAGCGACGACAUCUGACGGCGGGCGGGGAGAGAGAACAGAAGUUACCGGGGCUUGAUGUAAAUCAGUUUAGCUCCAAACACACCCCUCCCUGCCCUGCUGCCUCGCAGAGAUACAAAAGGACGAAUUUAUCUUUCGGCAAAAUGCUCCCCAGCUGGUAUUUCCAUCACCACCUUGACCUUAAUUAAUCAGCCUGAACGCUCACAGCCUGAAGUCCGGCGCUGACUGUUCAUUUGCGAUUGUUAAGAUCCUUUCCCACAACCUGGAGGAGAUGCAGCCCUCCGGCUGUCGCAGAUUGGCUUUGUUUUAAAGAAUCCAAGCAAGUACAUUUUCCUGAUACGAAUUUUCAGGAAAAACCUCGCAUCCUGUGACUAUGUAAAUAACGAAUUUGGGUGUCAGACUUGAACUAUGUGCUGAAUCAGGACUCUGCCUUUCAGAAGCUGUGAGACUUGGGACACGAAAACCCUGGAUGUUAUCAUGAAAAAUGAAAUUGAAGCAUUGAUUCCAAAACUGUACGAAGAGAAAACAGAAGCCACGAGACGAGGCUCUUCACCUCUCCGAAGUGAUUAUUUCCCUUUCACUGUGAAGUAUCCUGCCUGAAUUAAAGUAAUCAAAUUUAGAAAGGAGUAGAACUAGAACAUCUGGCAUCAGCAUCUUUCCCCCACUCCCACCCCCACCCCAUCCAUGUAAUACACGCUCUUUGAGGAGAAUAUACACAAAGCAAAAGAAGAUGUCAACAAUCAUUCACGUACCACGAUUCAGAGAAAGCUGUCCUGUAAGACUUCUAUGUGCAUAGUUUACAAAAAUGAAAACAUAUUAUACUUAUUUCUUUAUAAUCUGCUUUUGUCUAUGAUACAAAUAUUUAGCUAUUGAAUCAUAUGAUGGCUGGGAUUUGAUUAGAAACAAUCCAGUGGGAGAUAACUUGGGGUAUAAAUGAACCAGGAAGAACCUUGAGUUUAUAAUUGUUGUAGCUGGAUGCUAGGGUUCACAGAUCUCUAUAAUUGAGCACGUUUGAAAUUUUCUGUAGUAAAAAUGUCAUUAAACAGUAACCUGUUAACCUGUAACACCAUUCUUAAUGGCCACAUGUGUUAUGAUCUAACCAAUCUUCUGCUGUUGAGCAAUUAGAUCAUUUCUGAGUUUUCAUUUUGUAAACAAUACUGUGAUGGACAUCUUUGUAGCUAAAUCUGAUGGAUCUGAGAUGGACUGAAGGGAAAGAAAGAGGUCACGAAUGAUUCCAAGGAUUUUUCUGAGUACUUGCAAGAACAAGUUGCCAUUAAUUAAGAAAGAAAAGAUUUAAAAUUAAGAGUAACUUGGGAUGGAAUAUCAAGAGUUUGAUUUUGAUGGUCACAUUAAAUUUUGGAAGCCUAUCAGACGUGUAAGUGGAGAUGUCGAGUAGGUAGACAGUCCCAUUUAAGGACUGGAAUUCAGGGGAGGAGUGAGGGCUGGAAAUAUAUAUUUUAGAUCAUGGGCAUAUCGAUGUUGAAUAAAGGAGCGAAGAAAUAUUUGAUUUCUCCAGGUCCGUUAUUUUACGAUAAAAAAGAUGAGGAGUCAACAAAUAGGCACCAAAAUAGGUAGAAAGUAAAGGAACAGAAUGUGAUGUCCCAGAAACCACGUGAAGAAAGUAUUUCUAGAAGGAAGACACUGAGAGGUCUAAUAAAAUGUGAGCUGAAAAACUGCCUGUGAGAUUCGGCAACCUGAUGCCUUGUUUAUUAUCAUCUUUCCCAACUACAAGGGAAGCUCCAUGAGUUCUGGGACUUUGCUUCGGUUAUUUCUACAAUCCCAGUUCCUAGAACUGUUUUUGAACUAUAGUAUGCGGUCAAUAAAUAACUGU